rnacentral:rRNA from 1 species
AACGAACGCUGGCGGCAUGCCUAACACAUGCAAGUCGAACGAGAUCUUCGGAUCUAGUGGCGCACGGGUGCGUAACGCGUGGGAAUCUGCCCUUUGCUUCGGAAUAACAGUGAGAAAUUACUGCUAAUACCGGAUGAUGUCUUCGGACCAAAGAUUUAUCGGCAAGGGAUGAGCCCGCGUAGGAUUAGGUAGUUGGUGGGGUAAUGGCCUACCAAGCCGACGAUCCUUAGCUGGUCUGAGAGGAUGAUCAGCCACACUGGGACUGAGACACGGCCCAGACUCCUACGGGAUGCAGCAGUGGGGAAUAUUGGACAAUGGGCGAAAGCCUGAUCCAGCAAUGCCGCGUGAGUGAUGAAAGCCUUAGGGUUGUAAAGCUCUUUUACCAGGGAUGAUAAUGACAGUACCUGGAGAAUAAGCUCCGGCUAACUCCGUGCCAGCCGCCGCCGUAAAAC